AACAACUGGGUGAAAGGAAAUAACAGUCACAGUAGGGAAUAGGGAACAGCCCCAGCCUGGGACAACAACUGGGUGAAAGGAAGUAACAGUCACAGUAGGGAAUAGGGAACAGCCCCAGCCUGGGACAACAACUGGGUGAAAGGAAGUAACAGUCACAGUAGGGAAUAGGGAACAGCCCCAGCCUGGGACAACAACUGGGUGAAAGGAAGUAACAGUCACAGUAGGGAAUAGGGAACAGCCCCAGCCUGGGACAACAACUGGGUGAAAGGAAAUAACAGUCACAGUAGGGAAUAGGGAACAGCCCCAGCCUGGGACAACAGAUGGGUGAAAGGAAGUAACAGUCACAGUAGGGAAUAGGGAACAGCCCCAGCCUGGGACAACAGAUGGGUGAAAGGAAGUAACAGUCACAGUAGGGAAUAGGGAACAGCCCCAGCCUGGGACAACAACUGGGUGAAAGGAAGUAACAGUCACAGUAGGGAAUAGGGAACAGCCCCAGCCUGGGACAACAACUGGGUGAAAGGAAAUAACAGUCACAGUAGGGAAUAGGGAACAGCCCCAGCCUGGGACAACAACUGGGUGAAAGGAAGUAACAGUCACAG